UGAAGACACAUCUUUAAAGGAGCAAAAGAACUCCUUCAACAUUUGAAAGAUUUUUUUCACUGAGCAUCAUCGAAUUUACAACUAAAUUCGUGUUCUUCAUUGUUCUUAAAAAUAUCACACGGUGAUACAAUCAUUUGGCCACUUCUAAUAAGUACCUUUGAUUGCAUCAUAUGUGUAGGAUGUGGGAACAUUAGAUGCUGGAUCCGUAAUCAUAUAUAGGAUCUAUUUAUGCUCUAAAACUAUUUAUAACUUUCGAUAUUAUCUAUCGAAGUUGGAUCCUAUAAAUAAGUCACUGUCAAACAGUAGACAGAGCAACAGAUAUAUAGUUAUAACUAAAAAAAAAUACAAGAUCUCUAUGUUUAUGAAUUGAUUAAGUCUAAAGAUUUGAACUUUAGUUUAAAAGUUCUUCCACUAUUUUAGUCAACUUGAUAGCCUCUACCUCC
rnacentral:lncRNA from 1 species